UUUUCCCACAGUGGCUAAUCAGAUCACUAGCAGGACGUGUGUUCAAUAGCCCUCUGUCAAUUGUUUUUCGGAGGCAUGGUAUUGAUAAUGGAGCCUAUGGCCUGGAGAUGGCUGCUGUUAACAAACAACCCUUUUUUACAUGAUAAGCGCAGAGGAGGUUGAUUUGCUGUAAUCAUCUCUUCCUUUAUUUUAGGUGCCAAAUUCCCAAUGGAGCAGAAAAGACUAUGUAUGCGACCACAGCUGCACAGAUAUUAUUGGACCAGAGAUGGAAAGAGGACAGUCCUGACCAGAGAAGAAUGGCAGAUCAAGUUGAUGGAUUAUGCCGAAAUGGCAAAAAUGGCCCGAAGAAUCAGAAAUCAGGAAGACCAAAACUUCAAUAGGGAAUGGGGGAAAUUUAUAAUUUACCUUAAAAACCAUUGUAAACAGUUUAAAUCGUUGGUAGGAUUUGAAUAACAGUUGUAGUUUAAUAGUGAAUUUUGGAUAUAAUGGAGAUGUAAAAGAUUUGGACUAUUA